CCUACGGGCGGCAGCAGUAGGGAAUUUUGCGCAAUGGGCGGAAGCCUGACGCAGCAACGCCGCGUGAUCGUGACGCCCUUCGGGGUGUAAAGCUCUGUCAGUGGGGGCGAAACUUGACGGUCCCCACAGAGGAAGCACCGGCUAACUCCGUGCCAGCAGCCGCGGUACUACGGGGGGUGCAAGCUUUGUCCGGGAUCGUUGGGCGUAAGGAGUUCGUAGGCGGCACGUAAAGUCUGGUGUUAAAGGCAGAGGCUCAACUUCUGUACGGCACUUGAUAGUGGCGAGCUAGAAUGCGGUAGAGGUAAAGGGAAUGCCUGGUGUAGCGGUGAAAUGCUUAGAUAUCAGGAGGAACAUCGGUGGCGUAAGCGUUUUACUGGGCCGUAAUUGACGCUGAGGAACGAAAGCCAGGGUAGCAAAUGGGAUUAGAUACCCUUGUAGUC
rnacentral:rRNA from 1 species